rnacentral:rRNA from 1 species
UACGUAGGAUCCAAGCGUUGUCCGGAUUUACUGGGUGUAAAGGGUGCGCAGGCGGACUUGUUAGUCAGAGGUGAAAUCUCACGGCUCAACCGUGAAACUGCCUUUGAUACUGCAGGUCUGAAUUGGGGAGAGAGUUGUGGAAUUCCGAGUGUAGCAGUGAAAUGUGUAGAUAUUCGGAAGAACACCAGUGGCGAAGGCAGCAACUUGGCCCUAUAUUGACGCUCCGGCAC